GUCUCCGUGGCGCAAUUGGUUAGCGCGUCUGACUGUUAAGUGCUUAGUUAGUGCUUCGUUAUCAGGAGGUUGGCAGUUCGAGCCUGCCCGGGGACG